GACGAACGCUGGCGGCGUGCCUAAUACAUGCAAGUCGAGCGAGCGGAACUAACAGAUUUACUUCGGUAAUGACGUUAGGAAAGCGAGCGGCGGAUGGGUGAGUAACACGUGGGGAACCUGCCCCAUAGUCUGGGAUACCACUUGGAAACAGGUGCUAAUACCGGAUAAGAAAGCAGAUCGCAUGAUCAGCUUUUAAAAGGCGGCGUAAGCUGUCGCUAUGGGAUGGCCCCGCGGUGCAUUAGCUAGUUGGUAAGGUAAAGGCUUACCAAGGCGAUGAUGCAUAGCCGAGUCGAGAGACUGAUCGGCCACAUUGGGACUGAGACACGGCCCAAACUCCUACGGGAGGCAGCAGUAGGGAAUCUUCCACAAUGGACGCAAGUCUGAUGGAGCAACGCCGCGUGAGUGAAGAAGGUUUUCGGAUCGUAAAGCUCUGUUGUUGGUGAAGAAGGAUAGAGGUAGUAACUGGCCUUUAUUUGACGGUAAUCAACCAGAAAGUCACGGCUAACUACGUG
rnacentral:rRNA from 1 species